rnacentral:rRNA from 1 species
GACGAACGCUGGCGGCGUGCCUAAUACAUGCAAGUAGAACGCACAGUUUAUACCGUAGCUUGCUACACCAUAGACUGUGAGUUGCGAACGGGUGAGUAACGCGUAGGUAACCUGCCUGGUAGCGGGUGAUAACUAUUGGAAACGAUAGCUAAUACCGCAUAAUAUUAAUUAUUGCAUGAUAAUUAAUUGAAAGGUGCAAUUGCACCACUACCAGAUGGACCUGCGUUGUAUUAGCUAGUAGGUGAGGUAACGGCUCACCUAGGCGACGAUACAUAGCCGACCUGGGAGGGGGAUCGGCCACACUGGGACUGAGACACGGCCCAGACUCCUACGGGAGGCAGCAGUAGGGAAUCUUCGGCAAUGGACGAAAGGCUGACCGAGCAACGCCGCGUGAGUGAAGAAGGGUUUCGGAUCGUAAAGCUCUGUUGUAAGAGAAGAACGGGUGUGAGAGUGAAAAGUUCACACUGUGACGGUAUCUUACCAGAAAGGGACGGCUAACUACGUG